AUUGAACGCUGGCGGCAGGCUUAACACAUGCAAGUCGAGCGAGCGGCGGACGGGUGAGUAAUGUCUGGGAAACUGCCUGAUGGAGGGGGAUAACUACUGGAAACGGUAGCUAAUACCGCAUACCAUCAGAUGUGCCCAGAUGGGAUUAGCUAGUAGGUGGGGUAAUGGCUCACCUAGGCGACGAUCCCUAGCUGGUCUGAGAGGAUGACCAGCAAGACGGGAACUGAGACGCGGUCCAGACUCCUACGGUAGGCAGCGGUGGGGAAUAUUGAAUAAGGGGCGCAAGCCUGAUCAAGCCAUGCCGCGUGUGUGAAGAAGGCAUUCGGGUUGUAAAGCACUUGCAGCGUGGAGGCGUUACUCGCAGAAGAAGCACCGGCUAACUCCGUGCCAGCAGCCGCGGUAAUAC
rnacentral:rRNA from 1 species